GGAAAAGUCACACAACACAUGGCGAUUCUUAAUCUAGUCAAGCUGCCAAUUAACAUUAGCUGUCACAGGUGCCAGGAUAAGGAAGCACAGGAUGUUUGGGAGCGGCUGAGAGGACCUGAAUGGCUGCAAAUAGACUCCUCCUGUCAGAGCUGGAUCUGCUCAGGAUGUUAUGAUCAAGGUUACACUCAGAGUCAUCUUGGAGAUAAACUUCAUCUGUCAAGGAUUUUAGGCAGAUGGAAGCUGACAAUAGCAACACCCAUGUGGUCUCUGCAGGUCCUGAUGUAAGACUUGAGCCAUGAAGUCCUAAAGGCACCAGACUGGAAGUGGAGCAGGCAGCUCUGACCAGCAGGCCAGCUUGUCCCUGCUCGCCUUGGGCAGCGCCAGGGGAGGGCUCAGCUGGUGCCUUCCUGAUGAAUAUGGAGGAGGCUUCCAUCAGCUCAAUUGCAGUGAGGCUUUGUUCCUCUUCUCCACUCCCCUUUUCCCUGAUCAGAUGUCACUCUUUUUAUUAUUAUUAUUCCCUGUGUGUUGACAAGUGAUUUAAACACUUCACAGGGGG
rnacentral:lncRNA from 1 species